UUCGCCCUUAGAGUUUGAUCCUGGCUCAGGAUGAACGCUGGCGGCGUGCUUAACACAUGCAAGUCGAACGGACUUAUGAUGAAACCUAGUGAUUUAUAAGUUAGUGGCGGACGGGUGAGUAACGCGUGGGCAACCUGCCUCAUACAGGGGGAUAACACUUAGGAAUAGGUGCUAAUACCGCAUAAGCGCACAGCUUCGCAUGAAGCAGUGUGAAAAACUCCGGUGGUAUGAGAUGGACCCGCGUCUGAUUAGCUAGUUGGUGGGGUAACGGCCUACCAAGGCUUCGAUCAGUAGCCGGCCUGAGAGGGUGAACGGCCACAUUGGGACUGAGAUACGGCCCAGACUCCUACGGGAGGCAGCAGUGGGGAAUAUUGGGCAAUGGGGGAAACCCUGACCCAGCAACGCCGCGUGAAGGAAGAAGGCCUUCGGGUUGUAAACUUCUUUUACCAGGGACGAAGAACGUGACGGUACCUGGAGAAAAAGCAACGGCUAACUACGUGCCAGCAGCCGCGGUAAUACGUAGGUUGCAAGCGUUGUCCGGAUUUACUGGGUGUAAAGGGCGUGUAGGCGGAGCUGCAAGUCAGAUGUGAAAUCCCGGGGCUCAACCCCGGAACUGCAUUUGAAACUGUAGCCCUUGAGUAUCGGAGAGGCAAGCGGAAUUCCUAGUGUAGCGGUGAAAUGCGUAGAUAUUAGGAGGAACACCAGUGGCGAAGGCGGCUUGCUGGACGACAACUGACGCUGAGGCGCGAAAGCGUGGGGAGCAAACAGGAUUAGAUACCCUGGUAGUCCACGCUGUAAACGAUGAAUACUAGGUGUGGGAGGACUGACCCCUUCCGUGCCGCAGUUAACACAAUAAGUAUUCCACCUGGGGAGUACGACCGCAAGGUUGAAACUCAAAGGAAUUGACGGGGGCCCGCACAAGCAGUGGAUUAUGUGGUUUAAUUCGACGCAACGCGAAGAACCUUACCAGGAUUUGACAUCCAACUAACGAAGUAGAGAUACAUUAGGUGCCCUUCGGGGAAAGUUGAGACAGGUGGUGCAUGGUUGUCGUCAGCUCGUGUCGUGAGAUGUUGGGUUAAGUCCCGCAACGAGCGCAACCCCUAUUGUUAGUUGCUACGCAAGAGCACUCUAGCGAGACUGCCGUUGACAAAACGGAGGAAGGCGGGGACGACGUCAAAUCAUCAUGCCCCUUAUGUCCUGGGCUACACACGUAAUACAAUGGCCGUCAACAGAGGGAAGCAAAACCGCGAGGUGGAGCAAAUCCCUAAAAACGGUCUCAGUUCGGAUUGCAGGCUGCAACUCGCCUGCAUGAAGCUGGAAUUGCUAGUAAUCGCGGAUCAGCAUGCCGCGGUGAAUACGUUCCCGGGCCUUGCACACACCGCCCGUCA
rnacentral:rRNA from 1 species